AAGUGAAGAAAUUCAACCAAGCGCGGGUAAACGGCAGGAGUAACUAUGACUCUCUUAAGGUAGCCAAAUGCCUCAUCAUCUAAUUAGUGACACGUAUGAAUGGAUUAAUGAGAUUCCCACUAUCCCUGUCUACUAUCCAGUGAAACCACAUCCAAGGGAACGGGCUUGGCAGAAUCAGCGGGGAAAGAAGACCCUGUUGAGCUUGACUCUAGUCC
rnacentral:ncRNA from 1 species